AGAGUUUGAUCCUGGCUCAGAACGAACGCUGGCGGCAGGCCUAACACAUGCAAGUCGAGCGCUACCUUCGGGUGGAGCGGCGGACGGGUUAGUAACGCGUGGGAAUAUACCCAGUUCUAAGGAAUAGCCACUGGAAACGGUGAGUAAUACCUUAUACGCCCUUCGGGGGAAAGAUUUAUCGGAAUUGGAUUAGCCCGCGUUAGAUUAGAUAGUUGGUGGGGUAAUGGCCUACCAAGUCUACGAUCUAUAGCUGGUUUGAGAGGAUGAUCAGCAACACUGGGACUGAGACACGGCCCAGACUCCUACGGGAGGCAGCAGUAGGGAAUCUUAGACAAUGGGGGCAACCCUGAUCUAGCCAUGCCGCGUGUGUGAUGAAGGCCCUAGGGUCGUAAAGCACUUUCGCCAGAGAUGAUAAUGUCAGUAUCUGGUAAAGAAACCCCGGCUAACUCCGUGCCAGCAGCCGCGGUAA
rnacentral:rRNA from 1 species